rnacentral:lncRNA from 1 species
GCAGCAGGAGAGAACGAUGGCCAGCUAGGGUUCCAGCGACUCCCAUCGUCGCCGUUUUCCAACGUCUACCCAUCUCUUUCCUCAAGCCUUCCCUUCAUUUCAGUUCCAAAAACGUCAACCCAUCGAUGUUUGAAGCCCCGUUGACGGUGGUAGAUGUGCGAGCAGAAAGAGAGAAAGGGGGAAUCAGAUGGUGGUUUGAUCAUCUACAACUUCGAUACCGGCGAAGAUAAGCGAUGUCAUUUUAAUCUAUGAUUCUACAACCAGAUCAACAAGAUUCCUCCGAUCAGGUGAUUAGGUGCUUAGGAUGAUGUGCUUUAUCUGCUUUUGUGGAAUCAAGUAGGAUGGAGUCUAGAAACAAAGACAAUUUAUUUAUUGAAUCUGAGUUGUCGGAACAUGUUUUGUUUUGAGAAUAUCUAUUUCUGUAAUAAUUAGAUUACUUAAUGGGUUAUGGUAUG